rnacentral:rRNA from 1 species
GGGGAAUAUUGCACAAUGGGCGAACGCCUGAUGCAGCGACGCCGCGUGAGGGAUGACGGCCUUCGGGUUGUAAACCGCUUUCAGCAGGGAGGAGGCGCAAGUGACGGUCCCUGCAGAAGAAGCGCCGGCUAACUGCGGGCCAGCAGCCGCGGUAAUACGUAGGGCGCAAGCGUUGUCCGGAAUUAUUGGGCGUAAAGAGCUCGUAGGCGGUUAGUCGCGUCUGCUGUGAAAACUCGAGGCUCAACCUCGGGCUUGCAGUGGGUACGGGCUGACUAGAGUGCGGUAGGGGUGACUGGAAUUCCUGGUGUAGCGGUGGAAUGCGCAGAUAUCAGGAGGAACACCGAUGGCGAAGGCAGGUCACUGGGCCGCAACUGACGCUGAGGAGCGAAAGCAUGGGGAGCGAACA